UACGUAGGGACCAAGCGUUGUUCGGAUUUACUGGGCGGAAAGGGCGCGUAGGCGGCGCGGUAAGUCACUUGUGAAAUCUCUGAGCUUAACUCAGAACGGCCAAGUGAUACUGCAGUGCUAGAGUGUGGAAGGGGCAAUCGGAAUUCUUGGUGUAGCGGUGAAAUGCGUAGAUAUCAAGAGGAACACCUGAGGUGAAGACGGGUUGCUGGGCCAACACUGACGCUGAGGCGCGAAAGCCAGGUGAGCAAACAGG
rnacentral:rRNA from 1 species